rnacentral:rRNA from 1 species
UACGUAGGGUGCAAGCGUUAUCCGGAAUUAUUGGGCGUAAAGAGCUCGUAGGCGGUUUGUCGCGUCUGCUGUGAAAACCGGAGGCUCAACCUCCGGCCUGCAGUGGGUACGGGCAGACUAGAGUGCGGUAGGGGAGAUUGGAAUUCCUGGUGUAGCGGUGGAAUGCGCAGAUAUCGGGAGGAACACCAGCGGCGAAGGCGGCGACCUGGUCAGAUACUGACGCUGAGGCGCGAAAGCGUGGGGAGCAAACAGG